GGCCGGCGGGGCCUGGUCUGGUCUGGCCCCUCGGCGGGGCCCCCGGGGCGCUCGGCACCCGGGGCCGGGUUCCACCGCGCUGUGCCCGGCGGCGCCAUCGCCUCAGCGAGGGAGAGAGUUGCUGGGCACCUUUAGUCAGAUACUGCCAGGCAAACGAGAGAGAGAAGUGAUACUGUCCUGCAUGCUCUGAACCGUGACUGAAGAGAACAGUUUCUCAGGAAGGCUGGACCAGAUGAUCCUUGAGGUCCCUUCCAACCUGGCAUUCUAUGAUUUUUCUCUGAGGGU